CUGGCUCAGGACGAACGCUGGCGGCGUGCCUAAUACAUGCAAGUAGAACGCUGAAGGAGGGAGCUUGCUUCUUCUGGAUGAGUUGCGAACGGGUGAGUAACGCGUAGGUAACCUGCCUGAUAGCGGGGGAUAACUAUUGGAAACGAUAGCUAAUACCGCAUAAGAGGUAAUAACACAUGUUAUUAGUUUAAAAGGGGCAACUGCUCCACUAUCAGAUGGACCUGCGUUGUAUUAGCUAGUUGGUAAGGUAACGGCUUACCAAGGCGACGAUACAUAGCCGACCUGAGAGGGUGAUCGGCCACACUGGGACUGAGACACGGCCCAGACUCCUACGGGAGGCAGCAGUAGGGAAUCUUCGGCAAUGGGGGCAACCCUGACCGAGCAACGCCGCGUGAGUGAAGAAGGUUUUCGGAUCGUAAAGCUCUGUUGUAAGAGAAGAACGGAUGUGGGAGUGGAAAAUCCAUGUCGUGACGGUAUCUUACCAGAAAGGGACGGCUAACUACGUGCCAGCAGCCGCGGUAAUACGUAGGUCCCGAGCGUUGUCCGGAUUUAUUGGGCGUAAAGCGAGCGCAGGCGGUUUCAUAAGUCUGAAGUUAAAGGCAGUGGCUUAACCAUUGUACGCUUUGGAAACUGUGAGGCUUGAGUGCAGAAGGGGAGAGUGGAAUUCCAUGUGUAGCGGUGAAAUGCGUAGAUAUAUGGAGGAACACCGGUGGCGAAAGCGGCUCUCUGGUCUGUAACUGACGCUGAGGCUCGAAAGCGUGGGGAGCAAACAGGAUUAGAUACCCUGGUAGUCCACGCCGUAAACGAUGAGUGCUAGGUGUUGGGUCCUUUCCGGGACUCAGUGCCGCAGCUAACGCAUUAAGCACUCCGCCUGGGGAGUACGACCGCAAGGUUGAAACUCAAAGGAAUUGACGGGGGCCCGCACAAGCGGUGGAGCAUGUGGUUUAAUUCGAAGCAACGCGAAGAACCUUACCAGGUCUUGACAUCCCGAUGCCCGCUCUAGAGAUAGAGUUUUUCUUCGGAACAUCGGUGACAGGUGGUGCAUGGUUGUCGUCAGCUCGUGUCGUGAGAUGUUGGGUUAAGUCCCGCAACGAGCGCAACCCUUAUUGUUAGUUGCCAUCAUUCAGUUGGGCACUCUAGCGAGACUGCCGGUAAUAAACCGGAGGAAGGUGGGGAUGACGUCAAAUCAUCAUGCCCCUUAUGACCUGGGCUACACACGUGCUACAAUGGCUGGUACAACGAGUCGCAAGUCGGUGACGGCAAGCUAAUCUCUUAAAGCCAGUCUCAGUUCGGAUUGUAGGCUGCAACUCGCCUACAUGAAGUCGGAAUCGCUAGUAAUCGCGGAUCAGCACGCCGCGGUGAAUACGUUCCCGGGCCUUGUACACACCGCCCGUCACACCACGAGAGUUUGUAACACCCGAAGUCGGUGGGGUAACC
rnacentral:rRNA from 1 species